UGCAGUCGAGCGAACGGAUAAGGAGCUUGCUCCUUUGAAGUUAGCGGCGGACGGGUGAGUAACACGUGGGUAACCUACCUAUAAGACUGGGAUAACUUCGGGAAACCGGAGCUAAUACCGGAUAACAUUUAGAACCGCAUGGUUCUAAAGUGAAAGAUGGUUUUGCUAUCACUUAUAGAUGGACCCGCGCCGUAUUAGCUAGUUGGUAAGGUAACGGCUUACCAAGGCGACGAUACGUAGCCGACCUGAGAGGGUGAUCGGCCACACUGGAACUGAGACACGGUCCAGACUCCUACGGGAGGCAGCAGUAGGGAAUCUUCCGCAAUGGGCGAAAGCCUGACGGAGCAACGCCGCGUGAGUGAUGAAGGGUUUCGGCUCGUAAAACUCUGUUAUUAGGGAAGAACAAAUGUGUAAGUAACUGUGCACAUCUUGACGGUACCUAAUCAGAAAGCCACGGCUAACUACGUGCCAGCAGCCGCGGUAAUACGUAGGUGGCAAGCGUUAUCCGGAAUUAUUGGGCGUAAAGCGCGCGUAGGCGGUUUCUUAAGUCUGAUGUGAAAGCCCACGGCUCAACCGUGGAGGGUCAUUGGAAACUGGGAAACUUGAGUGCAGAAGAGGAAAGUGGAAUUCCAUGUGUAGCGGUGAAAUGCGCAGAGAUAUGGAGGAACACCAGUGGCGAAGGCGACUUUCUGGUCUGUAACUGACGCUGAUGUGCGAAAGCGUGGGGAUCAAACAGGAUUAGAUACCCUGGUAGUCCACGCCGUAAACGAUGAGUGCUA
rnacentral:rRNA from 2 species